CGCCUCUUGCCAAAUAUAAGAGGUCCAGCCUGCCCAGUGACUUAUUUAACGGCCGCGGUACCCUAACCGUGCAAAGGUAGCACAAUAACUUGUUCUCCAAAUCAGGACUAGUAUCAACGGCAUCACGAGGGUUAUACUGUCUCCUCCCCCCAAUCAGUGAAACUGACCUCCCCGUGAAGAGGCGGGGUUUAUAAUAUAAGACGAGAAGACCCCAUGGAGCUUUAAAUUCAAUACUUAACCCAAAUAAAUACUUCAACAAAAUAAUAAAGACUUAGCUAUUGAUUUUAGGUUGGGGUGACCGCGGAGUAAAACUUAACCUCCGCACCGAAUGGACAUUAUACCUUAUUAAAGAAUUACACUUCUAAAAAUUGGAACACCAACGCCAACUGACCCAAAAAGAUCAACGAACCAAGUUACCCUGGGGAUAACAGCGCAAUCCACUUCAAGAGUUCAUAUCAACAAGUGGGCUUACGACCUCGAUGUUGGAUCGGGACACCCCAGUGGCGCAGCAGCUACUACAGGUUCGUUUGUUCAACGAUUAAAGCCCC
rnacentral:rRNA from 1 species